GAUGAACGCUGGCGGCGUGCCUAAUACAUGCAAGUCGAGCGAACGGACGAGAAGCUUGCUUCUCUGAUGUUAGCGGCGGACGGGUGAGUAACACGUGGAUAACCUACCUAUAAGACUGGGAUAACUUCGGGAAACCGGAGCUAAUACCGGAUAAUAUUUUGAACCUCAUGGUUCAAAAGUGAAAGACGGUCUUGCUGUCACUUAUAGAUGGAUCCGCGCUGCAUUAGCUAGUUGGUAAGGUAACGGCUUACCAAGGCAACGAUGCAUAGCCUACCUGAGAGGGUGAUCGGCCACACUGGAACUGAGACACGGUCCAGACUCCUACGGGAGGCAGCAGUAGGGAAUCUUCCGCAAUGGGCGAAAGCCUGACGGAGCAACGCCGCGUGAGUGAUGAAGGUCUUCGGAUCGUAAAACUCUGUUAUUAGGGAAGAACAUAUGUGUAAGUAACUGUGCACAUCUUGACGGUACCUAAUCAGAAAGCCACGGCUAACUACGUG
rnacentral:rRNA from 1 species